rnacentral:rRNA from 1 species
CCCCUGCAACCGGGAUAACCAGCCGAAAGGUUGGCUAAUACUGGAUAGAGCGCAGACCCUGUAAGGGGGUUUGCGGGAAAAGGUGGCGUAGCAAUACGCUACUGUGCUGAGAUGAGCCUGCGUCUCAUUAGCUAGUUGGUAGGGUAAUGGCCUACCAAGGCUUUGAUGGGUAGCUGGUCUGAGAGGACGAUCAGCCACACUGGAACUGAAACACGGUCCAG